rnacentral:misc_RNA from 1 species
GAAGAAUCGGGAAAGAAAGGAAAAGAAGAGAGGAAGAAGAAGGAAAAGAAGAAGAAGAGAAAGAGGGAGGAAGGAUGGCCAAAUUAUUUGGAGUUUAUCUGGCGAGGGAGAAUGCCAGCAAGUGAAAAGGAAGAAAUUUGGUAUGCAAUAUCAGAAAUUAGAGAGAGAAAUAGAGAAGAAGAUGAAUAAUAGUCAAUGCCAGGAUUUAUCAAGGUAGCAAAGUUUUUUUUCAUCCAGUGAAGAAACUGCUAGAGAAAUAGUGAAGAAACUGCUAGAGAAUCCAGCCGGUUGUGUUGGUCUUGAAUUCACCGCCAUUUUCUGCACAAGAAUGGCUGAGGAGGAAAGUAGACGACGUCGUUUACCAACAUGGAUGGUGGGUGCAACUGCAAGUGCAACUGUUGCCAUCGACGAUGAAGAUAAAAACAAGACGAUUAUCGGAGAGCCUGAAGAAGAAAACCCAAAUUUGCCUAGAAAUUUGUUUGCUCCUCGAACUCGAACCAAGACAAGCAAAAGACGAAAAGCGAAAAAUGCUACCUUUGAAAAUCGUGAGAAAAUCCACACCCAUGACGGUGAUGAUGAAGAUGACGGCGAAGGCUUGACGGUUGAAGAUCUAUACAUGGAGGUCAAUCAGAAUUCAGAGCCGAAACAGCCAUUAAAUAGAAAAUGUGAACCACAAAGACAACAUCCAACAAUAACAUCUUUGAGCAAUGAUUUGGAAGGGUCUUUCAUUGCUCCUUGUAAUGAGCAGCAG